CUACCUUUUGCUACGGAAUAACUCAGGGAAACUUGUGCUAAUACCGUAUGUGCCCUUUUGGGGAAAGAUUUAUCGGCAAAGGAUGAGCCCGCGUUGGAUUAGCUAGUUGGUGAGGUAAAGGCUCACCAAGGCGACGAUCCAUAGCUGGUCUGAGAGGAUGAUCAGCCACACUGGGACUGAGACACGGCCCAGACUCCUACGGGAGGCAGCAGUGGGGAAUAUUGGACAAUGGGCGCAAGCCUGAUCCAGCCAUGCCGCGUGAGUGAUGAAGGUCUUAGGAUUGUAAAGCUCUUUCACCGGUGAAGAUAAUGACGGUAACCGGAGAAGAAGCCCCGGCUAACUUCGUGCCAGCAGCCGCGGUAAUACGAAGGGGGCUAGCGUUGUUCGGAUUUACUGGGCGUAAAGCGCACGUAGGCGGACUUUUAAGUCAGGGGUGAAAUCCCGGGGCUCAACCCCGGAACUGCCUUUGAUACUGGAAGUCUUGAGUAUGGAAGAGGUGAGUGGAAUUCCGAGU
rnacentral:rRNA from 1 species